rnacentral:lncRNA from 1 species
UUUUUUUUUUUUUUUUUGAAAAGGUCAACAUUUUCAAUAUUAUGUUUUGGCCCCUAGGUUGUUAAAAAUUAUGAAUAUAUCACAAAUAUUUCAUACUUUAUAAUUGUUGUUCUAAAGUUUGGUGUUAUUUUUCAAUCAAAUCCAUAAUUUUAAUUCUAAACUUGUUAAUGUUCAUUUAAUAAUAUAAAUUACUACUUGAUCAUUCUAAUUUCUUUGUAUUUUCUUAUUAAAUAUAUUUGAAACAUCAAAUAUAUAUGAAUAUACAUUUAUUAAUAUUAACAUACUCUUAAGGAUUUGACAUAUAAUAUUUUAAUUUUUAAAUAAUUUUUAGUUAUGACAUUAUCCGAUUCAACCCCAAUCGAACCCAUUGACUCCUAAGCUCGACCAAGGCGAUGGCCGGUCCGACUCUGAAAACAUAGCCUCCAACAGCCUCAGAAUGCAUUUUUAAACCAAAAAGCUUCUCAGCCAGUGCAUGUAAAUGCAUUUUUUUUCUGCCUGUUUUGGUUCUAUUUGAUUAUAUUUAUUGCUGCAUAAGAAAGCAAGUUUUGCAUUUUGCAUCAGGGGUCCCAAAACCUUAGGGUGUGCAUUGUGGGUAAGGGCAGAGGUAGGGUGUUUAAUUCUUGGUUAAUCCUUGAGAGCAAGUCGAAUCCCAGUUUGGUAAGGAUGGAUGCGUUUAGUGAACCCUACAGUUCCCAGCUGCUGGUUUUCAACUGGAAAUUGAAAACAGAAAAGCAAAUGAGUAAAUUCAUAUUUAUUGACCUCCAGCUUGUUUAAUUAUCAGAGAGGAAUUUUUGUACUUGAAAAGUUUAAUAGAUAGAUUUGCAAACAUUUCAAAGCUUGUUGAGUGUCUUAUUAUUUAUUAUAAAAUUAUCAUUUUUUUUGGGAGGGGAGGGGUUGGAUAGAAGCUUAGAGACGUGGGAGUGUCGAAAUGGGAGUCCGUUGCUAUUGGUUGAGAUCCAUGGUCUGUAUGAACUCUCUGAACCUGAGCCUUGGGAUAAGAGAGUUGUAUGAAAAGCGUGAGAUUGUGUCUAUCAACUGAUUUUUCAUUCAUGCAGGGUAUUGCUCGGAAGCUGGUAAAGGCUGCAUUGCAAGAAGCAGCCAAGAAAAGAGAGAUGAGGUACUCUGACCUGAAGAAGAUAGAUCGUGGAGUUCGACGGCAUUUUCAUGAUGACAUUACGGUCAUAGUUGUUUUCCUAGAUUCGAAUCUUGUGAGUAGAGCCAGCACUUUGAGAGGCCCCACGUUGUCCCUAAGAGGUGGUGGUAUCAACGUGCCGGCGAAAGCUUUGGCUCCAACACAACUCGGUAGUGCAUGAAAUCUACAUCUGUUGUAUACUCUGCUGUGUCCUUCUGGAACUUCAUGUGACCAUCUUAUGGUAGAUUAAGAGAGACUGGAGAAGGUGCGGCACUAAUUUAAUUUUUACCCCCCGUGUAAAAUUGUAACGUUGACUUGGAACUGGUGUUUUGUUUAGUUUAUGAUCAGUAAAAAAGAGUGAAAGGAUAAGGAAGUAAAGGAGACCUUGAAAUUUACUGUAGAGAUUCUUUCUUGAGGAUUAUCGUUUCAGCUUAUAUUCAUUUUCCUUCCCUUGCCCGCCUCUUUUUUGAAGUGUAUCAUGUAAAUGGUGUAAAACUGAAUCCUCUUGAAAUCAAAAGAUUGUUUGUCUUGUUACAGCUUGUGAUUCAUCAUCUCAGAUGACAAAGUUAUGGUUACUGUAGCCUUAGGGGACUACAACUGCAUGUACCUCGUAAUACAUGGUGUUGGGCGAGAUAAAUUCGGCUUUUCAGGCAUGGAGAAUGGAUUUUACAUCUAGAGAGGAUUUGGUCCUUUUGGAAUGAUAAGUGCAGGUUUAUGACCAAGUUAAAUGAUGAGCGGCGAAGAAUAUGAUCAGGCUGAUCCCCAAGAGAUAUCAGUUCGGGCGGUACGGUAAGCAGACGGAUGCCGCCCAGCUUUAGGUUUUCUUCUUUGUUAUUCUUCCUCUUUCACUAGAAUCUAGUCAAUUAUAAUAACUUAGACCCUUGAACGAAUAUACAAGUACAUGUGUUCUGAUUAAUUGGUGAUCUUUGGGUAGAUAGGGUAAAGCAACAAGGAUAAGGUAUUCAAGCAUGGUUAGCCAUCUCAGUGGAGUCCGACAAAACUCAGUCGAGUCAUCAUUGGAACAGAGGAAUUGUUACGAUAUUGAUCUCUAAAUUGUAAAUAAAUCUUGCGGUGGCUCGCUCUGACUUGAUCGAUAUUGGACAAGUCAAAGCCAAGUCAAAACUGAAAUCGACGUAAAUCUUCGAGUCCACUUGGGAAUCAAACAAAGGCAGACAAAAAUUUGCAGAAACAGAGUUAUGCAACAAAUUGGUGCUACUCCAAUGGUUCACAACAACAAUUGCCUUUCAUCAUAUCUCUAUUGUUUUACCUUUUUUUUUUUUUAAGCUUUUAUUGGAAAAUUGAACGCCUAAUAAUUGAAACCAAACAAGCAAAUUGAUAGGUUAUGCACUUAUCCUUUUAGAAGUCAAGCCCAUCUCCAUUUUUCCUAACAAUAGCCAACAAUCAUGUGUGAGUUGAAUCCCAUCUCCACCAAGUCUUGCCUUUGCCUUUGUUUUUAUUAGAAAAGAAAAGAGUUUUUCAGGAAAAUUUAAUCCAUUAGUAACGGCGAAGGGAAAGGAAGAAAAGGGAGGGAAAGGCUCAAGAUUUGGUAGCCAAUAAGGAUGAUGCAACAUGAUGGUCGUGACUAGUGAUGCUAAUAUGACAAGUCAAUCAAAGGUCAAGGAGUUAGGAAGCUUUGGGGUUAAAGGCUUAAAUAGGUGCUAAUGUGAUAAUUAGGGUAAAUAUGGGUUUUUCAACUUUCAAAUUUAGGGCAAAUUAUCCAAUUAGCUCUUGAACUUUUUAUCUAGGUAAAAAUAAGCCUCUCAUCUAUUUUUGGCUGAUUUUAAGCCCUCGAACUUGUAAAAUUGAACACCGUGACUCUUUUAGCCAGUUUAUCCGAUUUUGCAACCGGAAGGCCAAUUUACAUGAAUGCCUGUGUGAUUCUUCAAAAGGCAUUUUUGUCCGCAUCUUCUAGGUAAAAAUGGAACAACUCCUCCUAGUUUGUUAUCCCAGUGAAGCAGAUGGGUACUUACUUCACUCGACUAGCUUCUCAAAUCUCAGUGUGGGUGUGUGUGUCUCAAUCAUGGAAGCAUACAAACUAUAGCGUGUUCGUACUUACCAGAAGAAGGGGACCGACAACAUAAGAAAAACCAGCCAAGAUAGAAGAGGAAGUUCAUGGAAAAGGAAUAGAAUUGUUUUUACUACAUACUUCUUGUACGUAUUUCAGUUUGAGGUUUUGAGGAGAGGUGCGGUUUCUUUCACAGUGGUAAAAUGCAGAAAUAAUACUCGGUCCAAGAAGAAGAGGAAGAGUGGUUAAAUUUAUAAUUCCAGCAUCCAUCUCUGGGGAAAUCAAAUUAAUUUCAACUCUGAGUAAAGAUGGCGGAUACUACUAGUAAUUAAUGGGGAAGUUGCACGGGAACAACCUCGGAUCCGUGGUGUUCGACCACCCGACUCCCGGCGGAGGGCGUCAGUUUAAGAUUUGGUCAGCCUCAUUCCGCCGUAUUAUACUGGACACAGUUCAGUGCGGGACGCGGCAGCAUCAUAAGCUCAACAACACUGGCAAAUUAACCAUCCAAGAGCCCAAGCUGGAGCCCGACAUUGAUCUCACUGUAGUCACAACACUGAGAUAUGAGUUGAGUAAAGGUAGUAUUAGCAGUGGGAUUAAGGAUCCAACAAACACACCGCCCUCCGAAUCUGACAAGUUAUCAGACCUUCUGAAGCUAUCGGAAAAAGAAAACGAACCGGACGAGGAAGAGGCGGAGGCGGUGAAGAGGAAAGUGGAGGCACUGGAGGAAUUGAAGACAGUGGUGAAGAAUCUCCAAAGUAGCAGUAGUGGUAGCAGCAGCCAACAACUCGAGGAAAAUGAAAACCAUGGCUUCUUAGCUCCAGAUGUUCGCGUGUUGGAGGCAGCCAAGGAGAUUAGAAGGCUCGCUAAAGGCGAUUCUCAAGCCAGAACCACUCGUGCUUUGCUCGGAGCAAUAUCCCCGCUCGUGGCUUUGCUGGACGCCCCCCCGCAAUUCUACUUGUAGUACUUAUUCAUGUUUGUUCCUCCUUCCUAGAGAAAUUCCUCGAGGAUCCCAAAUUCGAGAUUGAAUCUGUAAUCCCAACAAGAUUACAGAUUCACUCCAACAGGAUGUAAUCUUGUUGUUACCCCAGUGAAGAAGGAGGAGUUGUUCCCUUUUGCUCAGAAGAUGCGGACAAAAAUGCCCUUUGAAGAAGCACACUGGCAUUCGUGUAAAUUGGCUUUUCGAUUGUAAAACCGGAUAAAUUGGUUAUAAAAGGGUCACGGUGCCCAGUUUUACAAGUUCGAGAGCUCAAAGUCAACCAAAAAUAGAUGAGAGACUUAUUUUUAUCUAGAUAAAAAGUUCAAGGGCCAAUUGGAUAAUUGACCCUCAAAUUUAUGGGCUUUCAAGGGUAUGGAAUUUGACAUUUUGAAGGUGGUUUUUACAAAGGAAUUUUUUGGGCCUAUUUGAUGGAAGCGCAGAUUAGCUAUUUGAGCAAAGGUUUGUUAAUUUGUUCAUUUAUUUGAAAUUGUUAAAGGUUUUAUUUCUAAUUUACUAUUUUCCUAGAUUUAAUAUUUAAUAUUUUUGUUAUGUGAUUUGCAAAUUUAUGUUACAUAUGCUUAACAAUAUAAUUACUUAGACUAGAUUUAUGGUUUGUUCAACAAAUUUCUCCUUAUAUGUUAUCAUCAGCUCGAGUGCGAUUAAUAUUGUGUUGUAUAAAAUAUAACGGUUUUAAUCUUAUAUUUAACUUUUGAUAUCAUAUAAAAUAGGAAUAAAAGGUGUUCUUAAUGGUAAAAUGAUUUACUUUUAAUGCUAUAGAUCAUUAGUUACAGUAGCAUAAAUUUGUUUAACUAAUUAGUGACACUGUAGGUAUUUAACAAAUCUAAUUUGAUAAUUGUACUUGUUAUGGUAUUUUCUAUUUUGUAGUAAGUUUUUCAUAUUUUUUGAAAAUUUUUAUGUGCUGUAACGUGCAUAUCAUCUGAUAUCCAACCGACAUGUCACGACGGAUAUGGAACAACCGCAAUCACGACAUGAGACCUGCGACGGCGAACCAUGUAUCCAAGGGUCCAGAAAAGCCAGAAACCUUUAAAGAUGAAUUUGAAAUCAUGUCAGAUAUCUAGAGCUGGAAAACCAGGCUGAAAUGCAAUGAUGGAUGCAAUCUAGUUGCUACUUUGGAUGCAAGAGACGACGAGAGAAUUAUCUGAAGCAACUUUUGAACUCUGUGGAUGACAUCGAUAUAAUUCUUCAAGAAAUGCUGCAAAUUUUCACUUCCUAUGCAAAGAUAUUAUGCCUUUUCAGCUUCAAUAUUUCACGAACUUGAAUGCUUACGAAAGAGAAAACCAAGAAAACUAAACUGGAGAGAAAUUCUACUUAGAAAAGUUCUUAUGUACAUGUGCCCCCCAAUCCUUGAAAUUGGACAGUGAAUGCAAAUAAUCCUCAGAAGAACAUAGGAUUCAAAUCUACCCAGUUGGCAACUCAAGUACCAAAAUAACCCUUUACAAACAUACAAGCAAACCUUCUCUCUUUCUCUAAAACACACAAUGUUAUAAUGGGUAAUGGCAAAUCAUGCUAACAUCAUAGUCUAAGCUGAAUUCAUUUGCCCCUGUGACCUUGUCCUCAUCCAUGCUUAUACUUAUCUCCUCAGCAAUGCCUCUUAGAUUCUUUGCAGCAGCAUCCAUGUUAAUGCUGUGCUCGAAACACGUCAAACUCGAACUCCGGAAAGAGUGACUAUCUAUGUCUACAUGAAAUUUUUGAAGUCCAAUUCCAUCUAUGCUUAUGGAACUUUGAGAAUGACCAUUGUCAAUCGAUCCGCGAUCCCGAUAACCAGUUGAUCCACUACGGAAUCCUGAUAGUUCCUCGGAAUACAAUGAAGAUUGUUUAGGUAUAAAGAUUUCUACUGAAUCAAGAGCUGUCUCUAGUUCUUGCCACACUUGAGUCAUUGUAGGCCUCUCUUUCGGCAUCUCCACCACACAUCUUAAUCCAAGUUGUCCCAUCUUCAACAUUAUCUCCAUGUUACAUUCCUCUAGUAGAAUAUUUGCAUCUAUGAUUUCGUCAACUCUUCCUCUCUCCAGGCUAGACCUCGCCUGCACUUUUGGAAGAAAAAAAGAUCAUUCCAUUUCUUCUUUCUCACUCGAUCAUAUCUGGAUAAUGCAUGUGUUGGUGCAAAAUACACAAAAAUCAGCGCGGACAGCAUGAUUGCAACAAAAAUAAGGACCAAAAGGGGCACUUGUAUGUAAUGCUGGUAUUCACGUUUAUUCUACAUAAUAAGAUAGCCGGAUCUUUUACUUACCCAAUCAACAACAUGAAUAUUAGGGUGUUUUCUAGAUGAAUCGACUGCAGGUCUAGCAGUAACAAGUUGCAGAAGAAUGACACCGAAGCUAUAAACAUCGGUAAAAGGACUUAAAUGGAAGCUUGCACAGUAGGCAGGGUCAAGGUACCCUGGUGUCCCUUUAAUCUGACUGCUUACAUGUGAUUGAUCCCCCACAGGACCUGAUUUAACAAGGCCAAAAUCUGAGACCUUAGCCUCAAAAUUCUCGCUUACUAAGAUGUUACUUGGUUUUAUAUCUCGAUGGAUUAUACUUGGCUUUACUCCUUCAUGCAGAUGAGCUAUCCCUACAAAAUUAAGCAGAUGAUGCAGUUUAGGAAUUGACCCCUUCUUGUACUUUUUAUCAUUGAACUGUAAAAAGAGCUCUCGUUAGAACUCACCCUUGGCUGCUCCAAUUGCUAUAUUUACUCUUUGCCUCCAAGUUAAGCUCUUUCCUCCCCUUCCUGUAACAGCAAUCAUAUAUUCAUUAAGAAUAUUCAUGUACAUUAUGACAAAAAGUAACUUCAAAAAAAUUUUUUUUUUUGAGUUACUGAGAUUUGACUAAUACCCAAACAAGUGUUACAGAAUACAAGGGGUAUGCCCCUGGCACCAACACUAAUUCAAUCCAUGGUAGGAUUAACAACAAAACACCCACCCAAAUCUAACACAAUCCCAACUUAAAAUCCAACACAAGUUAUACAACAAUAGAAGAUCAUUAACGAAAAUCAUGGUAUGUUAGUAACCAAGACAUCUUAGGUUCAAAACUUACCCAUGAUAUAAUCAAGUAAUGAACCAUUGCUGACAUAUUCAUAGACCAUUAUCUUUUCUGCUCUUGAUCCUGAUGAAACGCAAGCUAAUUAGACACUUGGUGCAUGAUACAUCUAUGUGCUGUUAGGUAAAUAUCUCAUGUUUAGGUACAUCAUCUUACAACAUUAGUCUGCCUACGCAAGUAAAAAUCAGACAUUUAUCGGUGUUAUAGUUUACCAGCUUGCUCGCAGAACCCUACCAGACCAACAAGGUUCUCGUGCUUCACUUUUGAAAUCAACCUGACCUCUGUUUCACAAACAAACCUAUAGUGAAUCAGUUUUACAAAUCGGAUGGAAAACUAUGUGGCUAUGAAAGAAAUAAAUGGUAUAGCACAAGUUAUGGAGCGUUGCCAUUUCUAAAUUCCUCGAUGCUUGUGCAUGACGAAGGAUGAAGCUUUUUGAUUGCCAAUACUCCCUCGGCUUCAAACGAUCCUCUAUAUACAUUUCCAAAUGCGCCAGUACCAACCAAGCAAUCUUGGCUAAAAUUAUUAGUUGCCUUCUGUAGUUCUUCUAACUGAAAUCUUCUUGACCACAUCUUUCCCGCAUCCAGCUUACCUAAACAUUGCCAAGAACUGGCUCAGCCUUUUCGCGUUGAACAUGCCUUAGAAUCUUAUCAAACAUAACAUAAGACUAAUUGACUUACCUUUGCCGUUUUGUCGUAACUUACAGCCUGCAUAAAGCUUCCUCUUGUAACAAAUAAUCAACCAGCCAAUCACAAAUACGGCAACAAUAACUAUGAUAAUCCCUCCCCAUACAUGUUUGCGCGCAAGAAAUGAACCACGAUUUUCAGUUUGUGCAGGUGCUAAAGCAGGCAAAGAUGGUGUUUUUUCUGCCAUGAUGCGUUGAUAUCGUUUCCCAAUUAGAAAAAUGGCAUGAAAUCCAACUCGUAAGUUUUAAUUCUUGCAAGUCUAUUCGUUAAAACUACUACUGAGUUUACUCUCUUCUGUAUAUUAAUUACUCGCUCUUUCAAAUGAGCAGUAGCAUUAUUUGAUUCCUCUUUUGCAACAGCUGAUUGACUAAUUAAGAAGCAAUCAAGCAGAAGAAACAAAGAAACAUAAAGGCAGAUAUAUGGGGUGGGGGGAGUUUAAUCUCAGCCGGCUACCCUCAACCUCAAGUUCAAUUGUCGCAGUCCAGUCUCAUCUCUGACUCGGUCACUGAAUUCUUCUCUCCAGACGGCACACCAGGACAAGGAAGCAUGCAAUCAAACAAUUAUUUUCCAUAAAGAAGAAGAAAACAAACCUACUCUUAAUUCAAUAAUUCUAAAGAUAGUUCAGCCAACUGGUUAAUCAACUUCGUGCAUUUUCUCAGACAUGAAACAGGAUACAGCUUGCAUGCAAACUGGCUUGGCAGAGGAUAUUGUUUUAUGAAGUAAAACAAGUAGGAUGGCCUGUUUCCUCUAGCGGAGAUCAUUUCUGCUUUUCUUCUUGAUGACAAAAAGAGGGGGCAGAGGCGACCAGCAAUAGCUCCCAUGGUUGUAGACAGGGAAACAAAGGGAGAAUCAGAAAAGUACCGAAUUUUAUUUAUUUAGCAAGUAAACUUCAACAAAGAACAAAAUACGACUUUGGCAAAUUUGUCCAUGCAUACAAAUUUUCUAAUAUUACAAGAUUAGGAGCUUGAAAACGAUCCAUAAUAGUCAUAAUUUCUUAAUCUGUUACUUCAGUAUAUCGUUCAAUUUUUUAAACGAGACAUCAUAAAUAUUUCUACUACAUUAAGUUUUUAUGUUUCUUAAUAGUUCCAUUGAGCUCUAAACAGCCUUUCAAUUGACGGUCUUGUGAAUCAUUAAUUUCUUUGGUUUUAAAUUCAAUGAAUCAUACAAAAUACAGAAGCCGAUCAUGAUGAACUAGAAAAAGCCAUCAACCUUGGAUGUCAUCCCCCUCGUUUAUUUUCAACCGAAGAUAAUGACCAGUUCUUUUUGAAGAAAGAGGUAAUCCCUCGGACUUUAUCAAAGUAUCUAAUAGCUAGUUUGGGAGGAUGGAAAUGAAAAGAAAAGAAGAGAAAUGAUAAUUUAGAAAAGAAAAGAAAGGAUCAAAGUUUCUAUCUAAGUUGUUUGGGAGUUUUAAAAAAGAAAAGAAAGUGAGUAAUUUUCCUUUGUUUGGGAGUUGAAUGCAAAGGAAAGGAAAAGAUACUUAAACAAAUUAUUUUAUAAAUAUGCCCUUUCUAUAAACAAAUGUGAGAGGGAUUCAUCAGGUAUUAAAAUGUUUUGUAUAGGAUUUUAAGGGUAAUUUGGUCAUAUUAAAAAAUUUACUUAAACUUCUGUCCGUUCCUUCCCUUUCCGCCCAAUGUUGGGCGGAAAGUUUUCCAAAAGAUGUAGGGCGGUGGAAUCUUUUCUAUUCUUUUCUUUUCCUUCUCAUUUUAACUCCCAAACAAUGGAAAAACUUUCUUAUCUCUUCAAAACCUUUCUUUUCUUUUCAUUUCUAUCCUCCCAAACUAGCUAUAAGUCUCUCUAUUAAUUAACAGUUUGGGCGCCUACCAGGCCCUCGUUAGUAGGGUUUGAAGGGUUUGAGGUGUUAAUUUCUUUAAAAAGUCAUUAAUUAAUUAAAAGCACAUACUCCUUCCGUCGCUCCCAUUUGAGGUGUUAAUUUCUUUAAAAAGUAUAGGUAAUUUGAGAAGGAAAGUGUCUAAAGACAGAGGAUUAUAUUAAUUGUGAAUGUGUAUUAAUAUAGUAAGUUAGGUGUCAUUGAUUAAUUAAAAAGCACAUGCUUCUUCUGUACAGUCCAAAUUACAGUUCACUUUCUAAUUGAAGAAUAUAAUUAACUUAUAAUUUCUCUAAAAUAACCUAUUUUGUUAUCAAUGACUAUAACCUAUCUUAUUUAUUAAUUGUUUGGAUUCAUGCCUUGAACCGUACAACUUUUCGUAGUACAAUUGUUGUAAUUAAUGUAAAAGUAUAGUAAUUAGUUAUACUCCUAAUAUUAAUGUAAGGGUAUUUUAAGAAAAUAGUAGGUUAGAUUUACUCUUCCGACAAAGUUAACUAAAUUUUCUUAAAUUAUGUUAAAAAAAAUAAAAUUAUCAAAGUGGGACAAAAAGAGCAUUUAUUUUGGUUGCCAAAUGACUAUGAACCACGCAACUUUCACCCCAAAACUUCUCUAUCUCCCCUAUUCAGUAAUUCUUGUAAGGGAAAUUUGCCAAAGUGGUCCCUAACAUUUAUCAAAAACACUUUUUUAUUCCUUUACAUAUAAAAUCAGCCAGAAUGGUCCUUCACAUUUAAAUUGUGAGCCAAUGUAGUCCUAUUGCUCGUUUUUGCUCAUUUCUCCGGCUAAAAAUAGCACGCCCCUCUCACAUGGUCGUAUUUUUAGGGGCAAAAUCGGAAACACAUUUCAUUACCCGUUGAAAGUAAAAGGAAUAGACAACCACCAAAAUACACAUUUCACCUUUGGCUCUCAAAGUUUCAAGAAACCCUAAAUUGCAUCCCCGAAUUAACAAGCAUUACUUGGAAAUGUACUGCUGAUGAUGACGACGGCAAACCUGUAAGGUGUGAUUGAGAAAUAAUCAAAAAUUUGGCCAGAAAUUCGUGAAGAAAAUAAAAAAGAUGCAGAACGAAUCGGGAAAUGGGACUUCACAAUGGGUUUCUUGAAACUGCUGUUGGCUGUUGAAUAAGUAUGUGUAUUUAGCUCGAAUCUCAUUUUUCAGCAUUCCACUGCUAUUGGCGUUUGCUAAAUUCUGAUUUUUUUUCGAAGGAUCUUUUAGUUUCAUGCCCUUUUAUAUAUAUAUAUAUCUAGCAGCAGAAGAGAUGUCUGUGGCGGCUUCGGCUGCUGCUGCUGCUGUUGGGGCUGGAGCGGUCGCCUUGUUCAGACUAAAAGGUUGCCUUCUUCCCCCUCCACCUCCUCCUGUUCUUGUCUUCUACCGAGCUUUUGCACCAUUUCCAUACCGAUACCACUUCGCUUCUUAUUCUACUUCUACUUUGCUUUCACAAGAAGCAGCAGCUGCUGCUUCUCAUCUUCCACGCUCACAUGCCGCCAAUACCUCCUCCAGUGUGGUGGAAAUUCUUGAACAGAAGGGCCUGCUGGAAUCUCUCACCAGCGAUAGUCUCAGGUCCAUCUGCUCCUCCUUUGCCCCUAACCAACCACCUCUUCGAGUCUACUGUGGUUUCAACCCCACCGUCGACAGCCUCCACCUCGGCAAUCUCCUUGGCAUUAUUGUUCUCUCUUGGUUCCUUCGCUGCGGUCACCGUGCUGUUGCCCUCAUUGGGGGAGCCACCGGCCGCAUAGGUGACCCUUCUGGCAAGAGUUCCGAAAGGCCUGAACUUGACCUUGAAACCCUCCAGAAGAACAUUUCUGGGAUUUUCGCCACCAUUCGGGGAUGCAAUUUAGGGUUUCUUGAAACUUUGAGAUCCAAAAGUGAAAUGUGUAUUUUGGUGGUUGUCCAUUCCUUUUACUUUCAACGGGUAAUGAAAUGUGUUUCCGGUUUUGCCCCUAAAAAUACGACCAUGUGAGAGGGGCGUGCUAUUUUUAGUCGGAGAAAUGAGCAAAAACGAGCAAUAGGACCACAUUGGCUCACAAUUUAAAUGUGAAGGACCAUUCUGGCUGAUUUUAUAUGUAAAGGACUAAAAAAGUAUUUUUGGUAAAUAUUAGGGACCAAUUUGAUAAAUUUCCCUUCUUGUAAAAACAAAGACAGAGUUACAUCCUCUGCAACACUUGCACGCAUGAUGGCUUCACAGGCAUUCAAAAGAUAGUGAUGGAAAUUGUAUAGAUUGUUUCAAAAGGAAACUCAUAAUGGAGAAAAAAAAAUUCAGAAUUACAGAUAUCCUGAGGUCUGUAGAUCACCGGUUAACUCCACCAAAAGGUAAAUGAUGAGGCAUUAGAGAUAUAAAUAAUAAAUGAGUACUGCUACAACAGCUGUUCGUCGUCAGCUUCCGUUGUUUUUUGUGACAAGGUAACCUAAGAUGAAUCCGAAAGAGCCAAGACAAGCUAACGUAAGCCCAGGCCCAGCCUACUCGAAUCAUAAUGGAGUUUGGGUUGCCGCCGUUUGGGGUUGGACCGUCGCAGGAUUUUGAAGAUUGAUUCCACGGAAAAAGAGUACGUACUUGUUCUUUAAACUUGAUGAAGCCAGAGACUUGGGCCUUAGAAUGCGAUAUUUAACAUCACAAGUGCGGAUCCUUUAUUCUUGUCUUUUACUUUCUCUGGACCAAACGUGUGCUCAUAGUUAAACACUUUUCCACCAGCAAAAGAAUUUGUCAAAAUAAAAUAGAAAAACCAGAUAAUGCUAUUUAUAAAUCGAUCAAUCUAAAAGACAAAACCUCAGCCUUAUGCUACAAUUAAGGUCAAUUUCAUGUUAGCUCCGCUAGAUUAAGCUUUUAUUAUUAAUUAUUAUUAUCAUUAUUAUAUCACAUGUGAUGUAACCCACAAUUAUGAGAUCAAUACAACAAAAUUACAACUAACCCAUGCAAAUUAUAGCUCCUUCAACAUACAAGUCAACUAACCUCCAUUUGCUCAAAAAGGGCAAAAAAAAUCCAUUACUAGUAAGACAACUACUACUAGCAUAAGUUAGAAAAAAACUCGCAAGUUUUGAGACUCGAACCGGAAUCUUUUAGAUUUUGAGGUCCUAAUUUUGAUAUGUAUUCUUGGAGAAGUAACUUAUACUACAUGAUAACCAACAGAAUUGAGGUCAAACGUAUGGAAACAUCGAAAUCAUGAGAUUGGGAUUUUCCCUAAUUUGGAUCGAAUUGCCCAGUUCGUGCUCAAGAAGCUUCAUUUCGCAAGUUAAGACUAAUCCUUUCGUGUUGUACACUUUGGUGCAAUUUGAAACUUAUCAACAAUGACGAGUGAAUUGACUUUAUAAGUUGCAACUCCUUCAACCUUCUUCUGACAAAGACCAUCUUCAUAUGUGGGCUUAAAGAAGCUGAUGUAGGACUAGGAUGUGUAAAAUAAUCUGUACCACGUAGCAUUUCCCAUUUCUUGUAUUUGGAUUUAAUGUAUUUCAUACUCAUAAAAUGAUUUUGUUUGGUGUUGGACGGUAUAAUUCAUAAUUUGAAUUUUUCAACAAGUUUAAUAAAAUAUGUACACUAGUUUUCAAAUGCAUUCCAAUUCCUAUCCAACUUAACAAGGGGAUGAUGUAUGUAUUACCAUCACGUUUGAUUCCAAAUGCUUAGGAUACCUGCUUCGGUUUUCUUGUUAAGCCAAUAAGCCAAAGACCUUGAGCAUAUCUGCCGACACAGAUUUGGACAAGCCAUCAUCAUUCCGAAGUUCAGACUUCAGACAUGAAAAACUCAACAUCUAAAUGUAACUCUUACCCUCUUAGACAAGUGUCAUACAUGUCUGUCUUUGAUGUGGGUAGUUAUGAGCUAAUGGCAGAUGUACCGAAUCUGAUGUACUGAAUUUUUAUCCCCCAUUUUCCACUAUUUUCUUGUUUGAAAAAUACGUUUGGAUGGAUUCGACUCCGAUCAUCAUUAUGAACCAGAGCAUGUCUAGAUGAGAUUAUAAGUCGCUUAUAAGGGCUCUUACAUAUCGCUUAUUAAUACAAUUGUCACUAUUGUUAUUAUUAUUAUAAAACCCGAUAAGGAUAUGCAACGAAUUCGAAUUCAACAAUUCGGAAGUUUGAAUUAGGAAUUUUUCGAAAAUUUGGCAGCAGAAUUACCGAUCGAAUUCGAUUUCGAAUUCACCAGUUCCGAAUUCGAUUUUGAUUCAGUAAAUUCGAAAUUCACCGAAUUCGGAAACCCUUUUUCCCUUUUUUUUUUCCUUUUUUGUUAGAUGUAUAUAAUAUAAAUUUUAUAUUACAUAUAUUAUAAAAAAUAUUAUUAUUAUAUAUAAUAUAUAUUAUAAAACGAAAUUGAAAUCGGAAAUUUCAAUUUCGAUUUCCGAUUUCGAAAUAUGAAUUCGAAAUCGAAAAUUUCGAUUUAAAAAACUCUAUUACCGAAUUCGAACCAAAUUCGCAUAAUUCGAAAUCAGAAAUUCCAAUUUAAGUGUCGAAUUCCGAAUUACCAAUUUUGAAAAAUUCAAAUUCAAUUCGAAUUCGAUCGGUAAAUCAAAAUUUUUCGAUUUUUCACACUCCCAGAACUCGAUGCCUAGUGCUUCUUAGUCCUCUUUUGUUUUUUUGGGGGGUGGGGGGGGGUGUAUAAUUUUUGACAACACAUCUUUCUCUACCAAGAUUUUUAUUAGAUUAACGAACCUUUGAUAGUUCAAGUGGUUAAGUGGGUGCUAAGCAUGUUACUCUUUGCAUUGCAGCUAGAAAUAGUUAUAAAGUCCUUGUACGCUUACUAAGGUGAAAAUACAGGUCUCUUCAAAUAACACAAUUCUGAUGAUUUCUUCGCUGCGGAAUUCAAUCAAGGGCCGCCCUGCCAGUACAAGAGGUCCCCAAAAUAAAUUCCUGUUUGGAUGCAUCGUGUAUCAUCUUGGGCAGGUGUGGAAUAAACUAGAGAUACAAGACUAACAAAAUUAUGGAAACAUCUACGUUCAAAUUUAUGACUACCACAAUUUCAACGAUUGCUGUAAAAAUCACAUUCACAAUCAAUUGACUUAACCAUUCAUAAGUUAGUCCCAACAUCAUCUUUAAUGAGCCAUGCAUACACCUCAAAAAAAAAGUCCCUAGUGACUGCUGUACUGUGGGCAACCUACAACAUUUUGCAGACUGCAAUUGGUGAGGAUGUCAGAGAAUUGGAAGGAAAAUCCAGGUUCAUCUCAUUUCCUGUAGUAAUAUGGUGGAAAUUUCAAAGAUGUUAGUUUUUUUUUUCUCACAAAUGAUCAAGAACACACGCACACAGUUAGAUAACACUCGGAGAACACAAAAGAUGUUAGAUUAACACGAAAGAUGUUAGUUAUUCUCACAUCUUUUAUCUCCACUCUCUGACUUUCAAAUAAAGAAAAAACCUUCUCCUUCCUUGCAAAGGAGGCUUGAAACCCUUUCAGGAUUGAGUUGCUUAGCAUACAGCACAAAAAUUAUCAUAAGCUAUUGUAACAUUCUUUGGUCAGGUAGGACUCUAGUGUCAGAAUUUGGUAGCUGUGCUUCAAACGAGUUUGAAAGUCUACUGUUCAUGGCAGUCAUAGUAAUACACAAUCUUUAACUAAUCUAAAAACCAUAAGUCCUUUUAUCAAGCAAAUAGUAGUGCUUUGAAAGUAACAGGUUUCAAAAUAUAUGAGAAUCCUAUCAAACUUGCUCCUGGGGAUACUUAUCGUCAAAUCCAAUUCAACACUCCAAACUUAAACCUAAAAGGACGAUAUAGAAGAAAGAAACAAUAAUAGUCUUUUAACUUGACUGACCCAAUAAUUUACGUUGGCCUACACGGAUGUCUUCUUUCAAUCCUAACAUAGGGAGUAAAUAAGCUUGUCCCCAGCUCCCAAUUAAAUGUAAACAACCAACAACAAUUACAGAUGCAUUUGUAUCAGGGUCCCAGUUCCAGUGGCUCAUAAUUGCAUCUGGUCGGUGUUGCUCACUUCUCUGGCACUAAAGAGUGACAGGCAGAUAACAAGACCAGGAAAGUUCUCAAGGGCUUGCCUCAUAUGCAGGCACGAAGGCCAUACCCUAUAGGAGGACGAGUACUCCCCAAAUUAGCUGUAGGUAAAAAAUUGAUCUCCUGUACUUGAAAUGAUAAGUUCGCCUAGUACAGUGCGUUGAAGACCGAAUAUGGGUUAUAUCCCUCGGCCAAGAACACUCACAAAGUGGUCCUGAUGACCUUAUGGGACAGGAACAAACACACAAACAACCCCCACCCAAAAACACCAAAAACAAAAGAUUUGAGACCAUAAACAUGCCCUUGAUUCCUGCUUCCUAAUCAUGCUCAAGACGACUCUUUCUACAUCUUUAAGACAGAAAUUUUGACAUGAAAAGUGAUAUGAGAUUUUGAUCAAAACAUCACAUGACGAGAAAGCACUAGGGAAUCAGAUCACUAUCAUAAACCUCAAAAUUUUUUUACAAGACUGAUGAUCAAGUACAAGACUGAACUAAGCGUGACAAACUCGUGCUAAUUACAUGUGGCUGUUUGGAAAAAUGGUAUAACUGAGGGUUUAAUUGAAUAAAUAGAAACCCUAUAUACUAAUGUAUAAUUUACAAGAACAGAAAGUUUACAGGUCCCUUCUGCACAAUGGACAAG